GUGUCCUUGGUGUAACGGUAACGCACAGUCUCUCAACGAUUUGGAUUGGUCCGGGGUUCGACUCCCCGAGGACGCC